CACGUAGGGCGCAAGCGUUGUCCGGAAUUAUUGGGCGUAAAGAGCUCGUAGGCGGACUGUUGCGUCCGCUGUGAAAACUCGGGGCUUAACCCCGAGCCUGCAGUGGAUACGGGCAGACUAGAGGUAGGUAGGGGAGAAUGGAAUUCCCGGUGUAGCGGUGAAAUGCGCAGAUAUCGGGAGGAACACCGGUGGCGAAGGCGGUUCUCUGGGCCUUACCUGACGCUGAGGAGCGAAAGCGUGGGGAGCGAACAGG
rnacentral:rRNA from 1 species